rnacentral:rRNA from 1 species
CCUACGGGGGGCAGCAGUGGGGAAUAUUGCACAAUGGAGGGAACUCUGAUGCAGCGACGCCGCGUGAGUGAAGACGUAACUCGUUAUGUUAAGCUCUAUCAGCAGGGAAGAAAGUGACGGUACCUGAAAAAGAAGCUCCGGCUAAAGACGUGCCAGCAGCCGCGGUAAUAAGUAUGGAGCCAGCGUUAUCCGGAUUUACUGGGUGUUAAGGGAGAGUAGGUGGCAGAGCAAGUCCGAAGUGAAAACCCAAGGCUCAACUAUGGGAAUGCUUUAGAAACUGCUCAGCUAGAGUGCAGGAGAGGCAAGCGGAAUUCUUGGUGUAGCGGUGAAAUGCGUAGAUAUUAGGAGGAACACCAGUGGCGAAGGCGACUUGCUGGACUGUAACUGACGCUGAGGCUCGAAAGCGUGGGGAGCAAACAGGAUUAGAUACCCCUGUAGUC